GCCAACAACCUAGCCCCAAGCACCCUAAUAAGACUAAUACCAAUAUCCCGCUAAACAAAACAUUUUACAAUUAAGUAAAGGCGAUCGAAAAAAAUAUCUGGAGCUACAACAAAAGUACCGCAAGGGAAAGCUGAAAUAAUAAGUGAAAAACUUAAGCACAGCAAAGCAGAGACUUAACCUCGUACCUUUUGCAUCAUGGUCUAGCUAGAAAAACCAAGCACAGUGAAACUUAAGUUUGACCCCCCGAAACUAAGCGAGCUACUUCAAAACAGCCUUAUAGGGCCAACCCGUCUCUGUUGCAAAAGAGUGGGAAGAUUUUCAAGUAGAAGUGACAGACCAACCGAGCUUAGAGAUAGCUGGUUAUUCAGGAAAAGGAUAUAAGUCCCACCCAAAGUUAAUUCAUACCUAACAAUAUCACUAAUAACUUAGGAGUCAUUCAAACAAGGUACAGCCUGUUUGAAAAAGAAGACAGUCUCCAACUCAGGGUAAUGAUGAUAUCAAGAAACAAAGUGGGCCUAAAAGCAGCCAACUUUAAAAAAGCGUCAUAGCUUAUUUCCUUAAAAAUACUAAUACCCAACCCCCCUCAAAACCCUAACCAACUACUGAAUGAUUCUAUAUAUUACUAUGGAAACCCCAAUGCUAGAACAAGUAACAAGAAGAAGUCCCUCUCCAUAAUGUAAAUGUACGCCGACAUGAACAACUCAUCGGCACUUAUAGUUUUUGAUUCUACAGUAGUAACUUAACAAGAAAACCCUACUUAACCAAACGUUAACCUUACCCAAGAACAUUACAGGAAAGAUUAAAAGAAAAGGAAGGAACUCGGCAAAUUCCCAAGACCUCGCCUGUUUACCAAAAACAUCGCCUCCUGACAACCAUAGGAGGUCCCGCCUGCCCAGUGACAAUUGUUCAACGGCCGCGGUACCCUAACCGUGCGAAGGUAGCACAAUCACUUGUUCCUUAAAUAGGGACCUGUAUGAAUGGCACCACGAAGGUCUAACUGUCUCCCUUUUCCAAUCAGUAAAACUAAUCUCCCCGUGAAGAAGCGGGGAUAAAAAUAUAAGACGAGAAGACCCCAUGGAGCUUAAAACUCAGUAUCAACUGCCACCUAAUAUUCCCUAUCAAUUAGGCAAACGCUGCAACACUAGUUUUCGGUUGGGGUGACCACGGAGCAAAACAAAACCUCCACGACGAAAGGGGACCCCCCCCACAUCAAAGAACCACACUUCAAAGAAUCAAUAACUUGACAUAUUGACCCAAACACUUGAUCAACGGACCAAGUUACCCUGGGGAUAACAGCGCAAUCCACUUCAAGAGCCCCUAUCGACAAGUGGGUUUACGACCUCGAUGUUGGAUCAGGGUAUCCUGGUGGUGCAGCCGCUACUAAAGGUUCGUUUGUUCAACGAUUAAAACCCU
rnacentral:rRNA from 1 species